rnacentral:rRNA from 1 species
UACGUAGGGUGCAAGCGUUGUCCGGAAUUAUUGGGCGUAAAGAGCUCGUAGGCGGUCUGUCGCGUCGGCUGUGAAAUCCCGAGGCUCAACCUCGGGUCUGCAGUCGAUACGGGCAAACUAGAGUAUUGCAGGGGAGACUGGAAUUCCUGGUGUAGCGGUGAAAUGCGCAGAUAUCAGGAGGAACACCGGUGGCGAAGGCGGUUCUCUGGGAAUGACCUGACGCUGAGGAGCGAAAGUGUGGGGAGCGAACAGG